UGUUCUAUCGAUCAAAACAUA
ensembl:piRNA 21ur-13134 ncRNA